ACAAAAGCGAUGAUAAGAAGAGUACGUUCCAUACAAACAUUUUUAGAGAGCCUCGUUUGCUGAAAAGAGGUAGUGGGAGUAGAACCGAAGAUGGUCUUUGAGCUAAGAGUGAGUGAAUGCAUCUGCAUAAGCUUAUCCCGGUAGCACCCGAUAACGUGCCACAGUAUAACUAGCUGCAAUGAGCUUAAGUACUGGAUGAGGUUAAUUUAGUGAUAAAUUAACGAAUUAAGGUGGUAACACGAAAGCAAUGACUUUCGUCCUUAUA
rnacentral:ncRNA from 1 species